GACGAACGCUGGCGGCGUGCUUAACACAUGCAAGUCGAACGGAAAGGCCCUGCUUUUGUGGGGUGCUCGAGUGGCGAACGGGUGAGUAACACGUGAGUAACCUGCCCUUGACUUUGGGAUAACUUCAGGAAACUGGGGCUAAUACCGGAUAGGAGCUCCUGCUGCAUGGUGGGGGUUGGAAAGUUUCGGCGGUUGGGGAUGGACUCGCGGCUUAUCAGCUUGUUGGUGGGGUAGUGGCUUACCAAGGCUUUGACGGGUAGCCGGCCUGAGAGGGUGACCGGCCACAUUGGGACUGAGAUACGGCCCAGACUCCUCCGGGAGGCAGCAGUGGGGAAUAUUGCACAAUGGGCGGAAGCCUGAUGCAGCAACGCAGCGUGCGGGAUGACGGCCUUCGGGUUGUAACCCGCUUUCGCCUGUGACGAAGCGUGAGUGACGGUAAUGGGUAAAGAAGCACCGGCUAACUACGUG
rnacentral:rRNA from 1 species